CAAGAAGGAGGCUCAACUUUUCCACAUAUGGAUUCAGGUUAGCUUCCGCUCAUGUAAUUGUAAAUCCGAUUAUUCAAAUGAAGAUUGUUGUCUUUAGUAGGAAUCAUAAUCCUAACACAUGCAUUAUCUUGUUGGAUAAAAAUAGGGCCAUUUGACCUUGAAAAUGGCCACUUUGAUCGAAUGGCAGGAAGACCCCUUUCAAUUAAACAAGUUUUAGUCAUAUCUUUAUUGACAGAUAAAAUAAGUUUGUUUCCAAAGUUCCAACAACUCGAUUUUGUCUAUUUAUUCUUGCCGGUUCCUUGACAACAAAAGGGAAAAUUCCUAUUUUUCCUAAAAAAUAUUCAACUCCAUCUUCAUCAUACCUAGGGCGUGCAACUGCAUCCAUAAACAUAACUUUCAUUAUAAAAUUCUUACUUUUGCAUGCUCUAUAUGGGAUCGGCUCUUGUUCUUCAGGGAGAAGAUAGUAUCAUUCAGAUUUUUUGGAUAGAAAAAAUCAUUUCUCGUUGAUAUGAACAAAAUGUUAAAGCUAGUUAAUGAUUAAAGCUAGCUAAGUUGGUGUGAAUGAGAAAUGGAGG
rnacentral:lncRNA from 1 species